AUUGAACGCUGGCGGCAUGCUUUACACAUGCAAGUCGAGCGGAUGAAGAGAGCUUGCUCUCUGAUUCAGCGGCGGACGGGUGAGUAAUGCCUAGGAAUCUGCCUGGUAGUGGGGGACAACGUUUCGAAAGGAACGCUAAUACCGCAUACGUCCUACGGGAGAAAGUGGGGGAUCUUCGGACCUCACGCUAUCAGAUGAGCCUAGGUACGAUUAGCUAGUUGGUGAGGUAAAGGCUCACCAAGGCGACGAUCGUUAACUGGUCUGAGAGGAUGAUCAGGCACACUGGAACUGAGAGACGGUCCAGACUCCUACGGGAGGCAGCAGUGGGGAAUAUUGGACAAUGGGCGAAAGCCUGAUCCAGCCAUGCCGCGUGUGUGAAGAAGGUCUUCGGAUUGUAAAGCACUUUAAGUUGGGAGGAAGGGCAGUAAGUUAAUACCUUGCUGUUUUGACGUUACCGACAGAAUAAGCACCGGCUAACUUCGUGCCAGCCGCCGCCGUAACAC
rnacentral:rRNA from 1 species